rnacentral:tRNA from 1 species
GCAAGUAUAGUUUAAUCAAAACAUUAGUCUGUGAUCCUAAAAACAGAAGUUAGACCCUUCUUACCUGCC